rnacentral:misc_RNA from 1 species
CUGCGCCUGCUUUGAUUCCGGCAACAGUUUGUUUACAUUUUGCUGCUCAAUCCAUCCUGGUUCGAAUUCAAGAGGUUUUUAUACAUGCUGUGUUAGUAUUUUUUAUUUCAGAUGUGAUACGGCAUGGCAAGUGUGGGUUCUUUAGCCAGAGUAGCAGCCAUUGGAGGAGUGGUUGUUCUAAGCAGUGGAUUCUAUUUCAAGUUUCGGAUCCAAAAUAAUAUCAAGCAGUCUGAGUACUUCAAGGAGAGUUUAAAGAUUCUGAGGUCAAAUAGAGGUGUCGCGCAUUUGAUGGGAGAGCCUAUUAGAGACGGGACUUUGGACCUUGGUGACAGUGCCAAUAAUUUUUGCACAGGGAAGGAGGCUCAGUUUCAGGUACCCGUCAAAGGACCCAAAUUAGACGGAACCCUGUACCUGUUCGCAUCACGCCCUGAUUACGGCCAGCAGUGGAACGUAGACAGACUCGAGCUGGGCCUCAAGGAUGACCCGAGUAGAAGAAUCCUUCUCCAUGUAUCUGAUCAGCAAACUGUGAGCGAAUAGGACAAGACGUAUUCACUCUCUGCAUCUUGUUGUUGUGGGUAGAGUCACAUACCAUAUUGCUUACAUUGAAAUCAUGGAAGCCUACCGGGAAGGCAACAUAGAUGAGGAGUUAUGCCCUGGUGCUGAUGAAAUGAGGGCAGGUGUUUCUGAUACUUCAGUCGCUAAAGCAGAUACUAAAAGUCUUGAGGACAAAGAGUCACA